CCUACGGGAGGCUGCAGUGGGGAAUAUUGCACAAUGGGCGCAAGCCUGAUGCAGCCAUGCCGCGUGUGUGAAGAAGGCCCUCGGGUUGUAAAGCACUUUCAGCGGGGAGGAAGGCGUUAAGGUUAAUAACCUUGGCGAUUGACGUUACCCGCAGAAGAAGCACCGGCUAACUCCGUGCCAGCAGCCGCGGUAAUACGGAGGGUGCAAGCGUUAAUCGGAAUUACUGGGCGUAAAGCGCACGCAGGCGGUCUGUCAAGUCGGAUGUGAAAUCCCCGGGCUCAACCUGGGAACUGCAUUCGAAACUGGCAGGCUAGAGUCUUGUAGAGGGGGGUAGAAUUCCAGGUGUAGCGGUGAAAUGCGUAGAGAUCUGGAGGAAUACCGGUGGCGAAGGCGGCCCCCUGGACAAAGACUGACGCUCAGGUGCGAAAGCGUGGGGAGCAAACAGGAUUAGAUACCCCGGUAGUC
rnacentral:rRNA from 1 species